GUACAAUGAUGACUACUUAGGACACCUUUGUAGGGCAUGACCGAUGAAAACACCCCAUGUUCUGAGUACG